CCUACGGGGGGCAGCAGUGGGGAAUAUUGGACAAUGGGCGAAAGCCUGAUCCAGCAAUACCGCGUGUGUGAAGAAGGCCUUAGGGUUGUAAAGCACUUUCAAUUGGGAGGAAAACCUACCGGUCAAUACCCGGUAGCUUGACAUUACCUUUAGAAGAAGCACCGGCUAACUCCGUGCCAGCAGCCGCGGUAAUACGGAGGGUGCAAGCGUUAAUCGGAAUUACUGGGCGUAAAGCGUGCGUAGGCGGUUCGUUAAGUCAGAUGUGAAAGCCCCGGGCUCAACCUGGGAACUGCAUUUGAAACUGGCGAGCUAGAGUUGAGUAGAGGGGAGUGGAAUUUCAGGUGUAGCGGUGAAAUGCGUAGAUAUCUGAAGGAACACCAGUGGCGAAGGCGACUCCCUGGACUCGAACUGACGCUGAGGUACGAAAGCGUGGGUAGCAAACAGGAUUAGAUACCCCUGUAGUC
rnacentral:rRNA from 1 species